CCUACGUGUGGCUGCAGUGGGGAAUAUUGCACAAUGGGGGAAACCCUGAUGCAGCGACGCCGCGUGAGUGAAGAAGUAUCUCGGUAUGUUAAGCUCUAUUAGCAGGGAAGUAAAUGACGGUACCUGAUUAAGAAGCCCCGGCUACCAACGUGCCAGCAACCGCGGUAAUACGGAGGGGGCAAGCGUUAUCCGGAUUUACUGGGAGUAAAGGGAGCGUAGACGGCAGGACAAGUCUGGAGAGAAAUGCCGGGGCUUAACACCGGAACUGCUUUGGAAACUGGGCAGCUAGAGAGCAGGAGAGGUAAGUGGAAUUCGUGGUGUAGCGGUGAAAUGCGUAGAUAUUAGGAGGAACACCAGUGGCGAAGGCGGAUUACUGGACUGUAACUGACGUUGAGGCUCGAAAGCGUGGGGAGCAAACAGGAUUAGAUACCCUAGUAGUC
rnacentral:rRNA from 1 species